UACGUAGGGGGCAAGCGUUGUCCGGAAUCAUUGGGCGUAAAGAGCGUGUAGGCGGCCAGAAAAGUCCGCUGUGAAAACUCGAGGCUCAACUUCGAGCUGUCGGUGGAAACUUUCUGGCUAGAGUCCGGAAGAGGAGAAUGGAAUUCCUGGUGUAGCGGUGAAAUGCGCAGAUAUCAGGAAGAACACCCGUGGCGAAGGCGGUUCUCUGGGACGGUACUGACGCUGAGACGCGAAAGCGUGGGGAGCGAACAGGA
rnacentral:rRNA from 1 species